AUUUCUAUAGUGUAAAAAACAUAUUGUCCUUUCAAGACAAAGAUAUUUUUUAGAAAUU
rnacentral:tRNA from 1 species